rnacentral:rRNA from 1 species
GACGAACGCUGGCGGCGUGCCUAAUACAUGCAAGUAGAACGCACAGUUUAUACCGUAGCUUGCUACACCAUAGACUGUGAGUUGCGAACGGGUGAGUAACGCGUAGGUAACCUGCCUGGUAGCGGGGGAUAACUAUUGGAAACGAUAGCUAAUACCUCAUAAUAUUAAUUAUUGCAUGAUAAUUAAUUGAAAGGUGCAAUUGCACCACUACCAGAUGGACUUGCGUUUUAUUAGCUAGUAGGUGAGGUAACGGCUCACCUAGGCGACGAUACAUAGCCGACCUGAGAGGGUGAUCGGCCACACUGGGACUGAGACACGGCCCAGACUCCUACGGGAGGCAGCAGUAGGGAAUCUUCGGCAAUGGACGAAAGUCUGACCGAGCAACGCCGCGUGAGUGAAGAAGGUUUUCGGAUCGUAAAGCUCUGUUGUAAGAGAAGAACGGGUGUGAGAGUGGAAAGUUCACACUGUGACGGUAUCUUACCAGAAAGGGACGGCUAACUACGUG